ensembl:lncRNA
CUCACUUUCUAAAGCACAGCUGUUUGCAGGUCUUUUCCAGCCCUGAGGGACGGACUGAUAUUCUCACCUCUGGAGCUGUGAACUACUUGAGCUCGCUUGCCUGUGCAAACAAAAUCCAAGAGUCCUUUGGGGGACCCGGUGACGAGGGCACUGUUGUGAUUUUCUGUGUGCUGUAGCAAAACCUUUUUUUCCACAGGGUGCAGGUGCUUCCUUCUGAGGAAAUCAGAGGUGUCCUGAACAACACUGUGUUAUCAGCAGCUCUCUCAGUGAAGAAUAAACAGCAAUCACAUGGAUAACAGGAAUCUUGCUCACUUCCCCUAAAUGCUGAUCUAAGAAUUAUAGGCUACAAAGUGUAGGCCUGAUCGGCAAGCACCAUACAAGGAUCCAGACACAACCACAUUUCUUCAGCUCUGAUAAAGACCCCCGGAGAUUCAAGUCUACUGUUAACAAUCUAUUGGACACAAAAGUAGAAAUAGCUAAUUUCUCAAGCCAGAUGAUCAGGUAAGCAAUAUAUUUGCCACUACUGAGACUAAAUCAGUAUUUUCUUUUCUCUUAUUGUUAAAUGCUGAGUAGGUUG